AAGUUGUUAAAUUCUGUCGAGUUUGGAAGAGGAGCUUUAUCAGGCAGAUCCUCAGCGAGGCAUUGGAGCCCAGUGGGCAGAGUGCUGGACAGGGAUUGAGAAAUCUGAGUUCUCUUCCAGACUCUCCUGACAUUUAAAUGACCUUGAGCUGUCACUCCCUUGUGCUGUGGUUUCACAGUCUGUAUGAGCAGGAUAAUAAUCCUCCACAAAGGUUUGAGAGUUGCUGAAGGAAGAACCUGUAUGAACACAACAUUUCUUGCCCUAGCCUGAGCUAGGUGCAGCUGUGGUUAGAGGUGGCCAGGAUCUGGUCAAUUCCAUCCUCAUCUAUUCCAGAAAAUCAUCAUUUUCAUUGUUAGACUCCUUGCUUUCAGCUGUCUGUCAAAACACGUGUUCAUGUUAAAGGUCUUGCUUAUCUUUCAGACCAUUACAAAAUGUCUCCAGAAAAUUUCGUUUGAUUUAGUUAAGCAUUAAUACUCAGUUCAUAUUCCUGUUACUGGGAACUGCAAAGUGCCUCUCAGAAUCAUACAGAUAAUUACUUAACAUGGAUAAUGUAUCUUUGACCUAAAAAAGAAAAUACUUUUGCAAUAUUAUGAUUAAUAUAUGUGGGGGAAAAAAAAUAUCUGUUGGUUUAUGUUGUCAGAUAUCUCAAUUUGACUUUCAGUUUGAAAAAUUCCCCUUGAAAGUACGAAUUUAUUUUUUUUUCAAAUUAUAUCUUGAUUUUACACAUUUUGUGUUAAUAGACAACAAGCUCUGUGCACAAAAAAGAACAGUCUACUUUCAAAACUGCUGAAUGGUUUGACCUCAAGGGAAUAUAAACUGUUGACUCAUUGUUUUUACUGCAUAUAAUAUUAGUCCUUUGUCACAUCCAGGGAAUGACAUCAUCUUCCUCAUUGUUAGCAGCAGGUUUGAAUAACAGAAAAAGUGCAGCAUUAGUUGUCUGCUGUGUUUGUUCUUAAUAAAUGAAUGGAUAUCUGGUACCAAGAAUCAGAUUAGGGUUUUUGAGUAACAUUUAGAAGAAGUUUGUGCCCAGACCCUGCAAGAGCUUUGCUCCUGGCCACCAUCUGCAGGGCAGUCGAGCUGGCAGGAGCACGGAGCCUGCAGAGGGAACAUCACUGAUGGUUCUGCCUGCUCCAAAGUGAUAAGAGGAGGCAGGAAAGAAGAGACUAAGCACAGAACGAAACAGAUCUUCAAGGUCAGCUCAGUAGAAGGAAUCCCUGCGCUUCUGUGAAUCAUACUUCUCUGGAAUCUAAAUUUAUGAAAAGUAAUUAUCUGAAAAGAAGUCAUCUCUAGGACACACAAACAAAAAGGGAACUGGUUAUCUUCAAAAUGCACCAUUUUAAGUAUUUCAUCCAUUCCAAAUUUUAUUCAUGUCUAUUAAUUUUCUACUCCCUAUAACUGAAGUAUCUAUGUCCUAGACUCAGAGUAAUUCCUUAUCAGAAGCAUUUGGUUAUAUCUGCUUCAUGGAAGAGGGAAACAUCAUUACAGCAAGUGAUCAGGCUGCUGGAAGUCUUCUUUGAGGUGAUAGACCACCUUCUUCUAUGGCAAAGAAAGUUUUAAGUGUUGCUUCCUGAACAAUAAAUAUUUCCAGUGAAAUAGAGUUAACUGAGGGAGAGAUUCCUUGAGAGUCUGACAAAGUGCCAAAUCCUAAUCUGCAUUACCCACUGCCUCUUAAGUUUUCCCAGGAAAAUAUGAUUAUUUAACUACAAAAUUAUACCUUCGUGGUUCCAAAAAUAUUUAUGCUGAAGAUAAGUUCCUGUGUUGAGAGAAUGAAUCAAACUGCACUUUGAAAAGCUGAAAUCCAUACAGCUGUGAGAGAAGCACCCAGGCAGGAGUCUGGGAAAACUGGAGCCAAUGGGUUAAGGAAUCCAGGAUGGCUUAAUCACAGAGGUCCACAUGAGUGGACUCAGGCAAGGGCUACACACAUGGAAAUACUUCUGGAAUACCAGAGCUAAAAAUGAAAACACAAGCUAUGCUGUAAAAAAUCAGAUCAGACCUUGUUGGCUUCAAAGCAGAAGAGAUCUCAUGUAUUGACCUCUUCACUCAUGCAGGUAGAGAGACAUGCUUUGCAUGUAAGAGGCUCAGGUUGGAGCAGGUGCAUCUAUCCCAAUUCCUAUCCCAAACUUAGAUCCCAAUUUUCAGACUUACCUGUUACGAGAAGUAAGAAACGCUACACCUUUUUUCUUUAUGUUUCAUAUAUUUUUGCUAUUUUCUGUUCUGGUCCAGAGUUCAUCUUCAGUAAACAUUUCCAAAAGGUCUCAACUAGCAUGAAUUUUGGUGAGGCCAAAUCACUUGAUUUUCCCUUACCCUGUUUAGAAGAGGCUUUACAUGGACAAAAGCAAUAAUGCCAGCCAUUUCCCUUCAUCCUUUAAAAUUACUGGCCACCUCUAAAGAACUUGGCCUCUCUUUUGUGUCAGUUUUUGACAACUCAUUUGAGUUGAACAGGUUGCUGAGGCCAAAUUAAAUGCUUGGGAAAUGGACCAUACAAUUAAUUUGCAAUACUAAGUUGUCUCAGCAUCAUUUCUCUUCCUCUCAAGGGGAAUGCUGGCUCAAGCAAAAGAAAAGAUUAACGUAAUAAAAAUAUUCUAAAGACAUCCUGUUAAUUGUCCCAAGCUCAGAUGGUAUUGUCUAUUCUGUUGUGCACAGCCAGCAAACAGUGUAAAAUCCAGAAUUCCUUCCCACCAUGAAAGCAGAGCUUCAGUGCUACAGGAUAAUCCCUGCCUUUCUGGAAAGCAGAUGAAAAUGUGGCGUGGCAGAGCUUUGCUUUGGGUUUCAGAGGCAGAUGUUGCAGAUUGUUCUGAACAUUGAGGAAUUCAAGAAAAUAAUACAACUGUGAAAACCCAAAAGUUAGAUUUUAACUGUUUUUCAACUCCUUUAUUACCUUCUCAAAUUAUACUGCAAAGUUACAGAGCCUAGACAUGUGGGAAGUCUCCAAGGAAAAAGUCUGAGGAAGGCAUUCUUCAAAAUUAUUUGCCAUUUAGUUUCCUCGGCAUGGUAGCAGCUAGAUAGAGCAGUUCUGCCUCCCUUCAGUCUUUCCAUUUAUAGAAAGUACCCAAUAACAUAUAAACCUUUUUGAAAUGUUUGGGAGACUUCUCUGUGCUCCGAGGGAGCUGGUGUUCUCAAUAUUUAUGAUAUGUACCCAAAUGAUUUCUCUCUUUUAGUGUCUCCAGUGCAAAAUCAUUACAUUGCUAGAAAUAAAUUAAGCCUAACUUGUGGGGGAAAAAUAUUGGAUUUCAUCGUGUGUUUUGUAUUGUACCAUUAUGAAAAUGGUAUAUUAAAUUCAAAUGCUUCAAUUGUACCAUUAGAUGUUGUCAUUAUGUGGCUGGCUAAUUGAUAGGUUAUUCAAAUGAACAUUAUAAUUUUAGACUUCUUAGAAACAUCCAUGUGAAGAAUUUCCAAACUUCAGAGAAGUAAACUGGGUGUUAGAAAGGAAAAAUAUGUACUGAGAAUAUUUCCUAAUGCAUGUCACUGAAAAAUCAUUACAUAACUGCCGUGUGCAUUCCGGGACUUGGUGCAGUCUAUUUUUAAUACCGGUAUGAAAGAACUUCCUGCUACUUUUUCUCUUUGAAAGCUGCUUUGUGGUUCAUUAGAUCAUGUUGUCAAGUUUUCUGCUAUCCUUAAACCCCAAUUUUUCCUACUUUUUUUUUUAAUGGUUUGGUUUUGUUUUGCUUUGGUUUUGUUUUUUGUUUAAAAAAAAAGGAAACUGUAUCAGAAGGAAGAAUGUGCUGAGCAUAAGAUACCUUGGAGGGUAAGGUACAUUGUGUAAGUGUUGCAGUGGUCCCAGAGCCAAACACUGCCAGACCAGGCCUAGUAUUAAACCCAAAAAGAAAUCUAAACAUAACAAACACAUGCAUAUUUAAGAAAGGCAAAAGAAUUUGUGUGCCAUACAACAGUACCUAGCAAAAAUUUUCAACGUUUUGUUUAUGAAAACAGAUUUAUUUUUUUUAUUAGAGUAGUUUUAAUUUCAUACUGAUCUCCAGUGUUAUCACAGGUCACCAUUUUGACCAUAAUUUGGAUAAUCAUGACCAUUAACAUAAAGCUUUUUGCUUAAAUGCAAUGAAAAAUUUUCAAACACAGGCUGUGCAAGAGAUUUCAGAAUAUUUUAGCUGCAGAGAAAGUUUACAGCAUUAGUGUAGUUUUGCUGUUAAAAUCCCAGACAAACAGACCAAAAGAGGUGAGAUAGCCACAGGGACCAACAUUUUCACCUCCUCUGACCUCCUGCAAAACAAAGGUCACAGGACUUCCUCAAUUAAUUUCUUUUCAAACAAGAACAUAUCUUUUAGGCAAUGGUACAGUCAAGUGACACUAAAAUCAGCUAAAAGUAUUUAAAAGUAUUAAUUUUAUAGACAAGAAAACAUUUAUACUUGCAAAUUAACAGGCAGUUAAUUUGUACAAUAAAAAAGGGCUUCUGUCACUCUUACUUUCAUCCCUAGCAGAGGAAUGGGGUGACAGGUUUUGGUGCCAAGCAGCACUCGGUGGUAAUUGCUGUAACUCUUGCUGUGAACCUGCUCUGGAAGUCUCUGGCAGGGAGGCAGUGGAACGUGGCAGGACUGGAACAGGUCACACCUCAGCUGUCCUCCCUGCCACCACUCCCACAGCCACCCCUGCUGCCCUGAAACGCAGCUUUCAACAUAGGGAGCAACUCCUGAGCUGCCUCGGCUUUCAUAGAAGGCAAACAAUCAAACUGUGGGAGAUGUGGUGCUUUUUGGGGACUGUUGGAUGAUGCUUUCCCUGGGGCUUGUGGUAAACUGCACUGAUGAGGAUAUCUAGGAAACCCAAAGCUAACAAAAUAUUUGGACUUCCCUUUCUGUUGCUUUGACAUUAUUCCACCAAUAAUUUCUUCCCCUGUUCACUCUGCUGUCUCUGUAAAAUUUCAUUUUCACAGAAUACUUUCGGAUCAUUUAUUUUCUGCACUUCUGUAGAUCUUUCAAGUUGGUUUGGUUGCCAAAGAGAAUGGUCCAGUCCUCAGCUAUAGUGCUCCCAAUCUCAAUUGAGCACACUCCCCUCUCCCUCUUCACAUCAAAACACUCUGGAUUCAUUUUCCUUUAUUUUAAUUUUCAUUUUCAGAGGAAAUAUCUUCACCCCAAAAGGUGAAAUCUGACUGAGUUCUGCUAAUUUAAACAAACUUUUUAUUAAGAAAUUCAUUGCAGGUUACCUAGAAGUCUUGCACUGCUCUGCUUAACCUUGUCCAGUUCUUCAUAAUAACAUCUUGUUUUCAGUUGCUUGUCACUGGGCUGGUAUUUUCCAAGCCAAGCAUCUGCCUCAGGUUUAUUUUUUGGCAGUUGCCAGCUAAACCACUGUAGUAAUUUUCAAGAACAAGGUUAAAAAAAUAUUUUGCCCAUAUUAAAAAAUAAUAAUCUGGUUGCUUCAUUUAGAAGUGUUGGUAUCCCCAUUACAGAAGGAAUUUGAAAUGGAACACCAUCACUGGCCUGCUUUCAUCCAUGCGCCUUUUAAGCAGCAAGUUGGAAUUUGGCAGCAGCGUUGCUGUGGUUUCACAGAUGUGCAUCCAAAUGUAAAAAAAGUUAAAAUACUAAAAAAAUAAACAAAUCUCAGUUUGAAUGUGAUUGGUUAAGAAUCAUUAAAUUUUGUCAUUUUGCUGAGUUUUCCAAAGGCCAGCCCAAGCUGAGGGAGCACACUCUGUGUUCGGGGGCUUUUUUGGAGCAACCAGGCACAGUCUGUGCCCAAGGGACCACGAGCGCUCCUCCCUUCCUGUGAGAUCUGGGUGCCUCUCCUCUGUGCUUCACCUCUCUUUCUCCUGCUGCUGCUGCUGCUGAGAAAAGGAGGAUGGGUGACGAAGAUGAAAGAGUUUGGGAGGAGGUCUGCAACCAGGGAGCAGAAAAUGAGAGGAAGGAGAAGAUGAAGGCAGUAGAGUCCAAGAAGACAACUACUGCUGAGCAGUAAUAAUUCUCCUAGGACAUCAUGGACAGAAAUCAGUUGUGGAAGCAGUUCUGCAUGACUAGGGAAAAAAAAGGUUAUACAUAUUUACAUAAAGAGAUUCUGCUAAGCUGUGGGAAAAGGUAUGAUAUAUUGGGUAAGGAAAUUAAUAAGCAUCAUGGAGAUAAAGAUAAGAUGCCAGAGGAAAUAAUUAAGAAAAAAUAAGAGGGUGGAUGUGUGGCUGAAACAAGGGAAGCUAGGAAAUGGAAACAGAGUGUGAAGUGUGUAAGAAGGCAGGAGCCAGGGAAUGGAGGGGUGGAUAAACAGUGUGGAAGAGCUGGGAGUUACCUUAAAACAGCACAGAGGAGAAAGAGAAGGCAGGAGCCAGGCAGAAGAAAGAGCAUCAAGGGAAAGAAGGGGUGUGAGUACAGACUGAACUCUGAGACUAGGCUGAUCUUCUGAGUCAGACAUAAAUGCAAAUUGUGAUUUAUCUGUAAUGGUAUAGGAACAGGAAUCAGGUAUGACUAACAUCUAUAGCCACAUUUUCUUUUCCUGUUAGAGAUCUUUAUCGCAUAUUCUGGAUCUCUUGAGCCAGAGCCCUGGAGUUAAGGUGACCGCAUGUCAUUAUCUGUUUAUUUUUCAGGCUUCCUCUCUCUGAUUUUGUUAACAAACAUUCAAAUGCCUAAAGUACAAUAUACGGCUUUCUUUAAUCAGAGUAAAAAGUAUUUCUGCAAAAUACAUUUGAAAAUGCUACAAGUAAUUUUGAAAUGAUAGGUAGGGCUGCCAGCAGUGUCUCUCACUGGCAGAACAAAGCAAGGCCCCGAAUUCAGCUUGAUGGCCUUUCACUGUGGGUGUUUGUCCUCGAAGAGGGCUUGCACCAUCCCCAUUACAUUGUGUGGAAUUCGUCACAGGGGUCAGCAGCACUGCCUUGGCAAUUUUAGCUCCCAGCAGCCAGAAACAUCGCCUGGAGAUACAGGCACAGAGAGUGGGAAAGGGCUGGGUGCUGCCCACGGGCAAAGCAGAGGUGGAGGUCACUGAGCCAGGGAGGGGAGUGGGACAUGUCCUGCCCCGUGGUACUGCUGCAGCUGCAGAGACACCAGUUCUACUCCUUCAGUGGCAAAACAGGGGGAAACAUUGAAAUUUGCCCCUACCAUGAUGAUUCAGCUUGAAAGCAUUUGCCAUUUUUAUUUAAAAAAUUGGAAUUUCUUUAACAUAAAUGGAAAAUGCUUUCCCACAAAUAGUGUGUUUGGCUGUCACAUUUUCUGCAAGCUGAAGGCGAGCUUUGCAGAGCUGAGCUUUACUUUCCUUUUGAGAAUGAAAGCAGCAGUGCUGUCAGAAGAUUGAGUUGUUGGUGUAUAUCAGGUGAUAGAAAAAAUUACUCUGCACAUGGUCUGACUUUUUUAUACAUAUACUUGGGAUCUGCAAGUGCUGAUUUGCUGUCUGUUUAUCUGUUUAUCAUACUGAUAGCUUAAAUCCACAAACUACACUUCUAAUAACAACUCCUAGGGAUAAGGUUGCUAUUACUGCUCGGUUCCUCCUACAGAUUAAACAGAGCUAAAAGUUGGUACAUUGACCUAUUGCUUCUUGAGGCAGAUCUCUGUUCAAAUUGUGACCUACGUCCCAGCUAAAAAUGUGCUCAAUCUUUUCUUAAUUUGUAGUAGAUACUUGUGUACAUUACAAAAUCGUCUCACAAUUUGGCAAAUUAAGUUGUCUGUGGUUAGCUCUGGAAUUGCAGAGAUAUUGCAGUGCACUGCAGCAUUGCAUAAUGAGGUUCCCCAGACUUUUCUUACUCGAGUGAGUAACAGCAAUUCUUAUCUCUAGCGAGCAUCAGAUUCAUCCCGUUUUUGAGAAGAGAAUUAGUAUCAAAUAUACGAUGGGCAUGUUAUGCCUUGUGGCUGCAAUGUUGUUUCAAUUAACUUCCCUGAAUAUACCACAAUGAAAAGUGUCAGCUUUUUGCCUCAGAGGCCUAUAAUUAGAUUAAAUGAAUACUGUUAAUUAUCUACUACCUUCUUUACACAAAACAGUAUGUUUCCAUAAAUUAAAAUGCUUGUACAGGAAGGAAAUUGUUGUUCUCUGCAACACAUCCAUACAGUGCUGGAUUGUGAAUACUGUGACUGUAUCAAAGUGUAGCACAGCUCUUUGUCUGCAGCCCCUAUUUUACAGGAGCUAAAACAAAUUACAUCUGAAAAAUCCACAGACAUUGGACUAUUUUAAGCAUAUGUGUUGAUGCAAGGAAGUGAUAUUACUAAAUGUUACAGCGCUCAUGAAACAAAUACACUUCUCUCUUAAACAGAUGUUCUCUAUAAAAUUCUCUUAGAGAGAUUAAAUACAGCUUUGUUUGUGUACCUACAGUCACACCCUCAAGGACUAUGUUAUGUACAGAGAAAAAACUGCUUUUUCUAGCAGAGUGUACUUCUCCUUUCAGAAAAUUUUUAAAAGUCCAUUCUGUAGGAAGCAUUUACAGCAGUUAACAGCUUGAUUUCCAGGCCUGUGUAUAUUCCAGCUAGUGUGGACUGAAAAUCUCCUCUGCCUGUUCUCCAGCAUUACUAGAUGCAAGCAAAAGUUCCUGACUGAUCAAUUCAGUCCCAUCCUGGCAUGCCUGAUUUGGAAGUGCAGAUUUUCAAAUGGUGGUACAUCACCUCUGGGGUAACAUAUCUGAAGCAGAAAGUACUCUUUUUGAUUUGACAAAGUGUAUCCCAAUGUCCCUAUUUCCAUCAGAAUAGAUGUUAAUAACUUCAGGCCUGACCAUUCGAUCCUCCCUCACCAGAAAAUUACAAUUAACUUUAGCAGAAGCCCUCAUUCCGGCCUGCAGUAUACUCUGCAUAUAAAUGUGAUCUGUACCCAGGAUUGCUCUUGUGUUUCAUUAAGGUCAAACCCUGAAAAGCUUUUGAAUACUCAGUGUUCCUACAAGGCAUUGCAUUUUGUUGUGGUUUGUGCUGUGUAUCUGUUCCUUUAAAUGUUCAUUACCUCCGUGUAUAAAAGUGUUCAUUAAAAUAUCAUUGUGCUGGUAAUAAUCUUAA